CCUCGGCUUAGUUUCGGCUUGGGUGUAUUCAUAGGAGCAAGCUGACAUCAAUUGGAGCAGAAAGCCCGAACUUGCUGGGUUGCAGACGUCGAACUCCAUUACCGGUUGAGCUUCGAAUUAGGUAGGACGGAGUUGAUCGACUCGGCGUCGACUAGGCUAUCUCCGGAAAUUGUGUUCUUCGUCAUCGAGGUUUCAUCUGCAAAUUCUGCCCCAGAAGGACUCCAGUUACCCGAGGAACAGAAGGUUCGCAACUCUCGGAGUACGUGAGAGAACGCAUCGGAAUCCAGGUAGGGAUUCAGGACUCUCCUCGGUUAGUGAUUUUCUUAUAUUGUUAUUAAAUGAUGCAUGUUAGUUGGUAUGGUUUGGUUAUGUUCAAAUGCAAUGCAUACUAACCAAACCAUGUGAGAAAUGUGAUGGCUUGAGAGCGAAGGGUGGCUCUGACUUCCUUGGGUUCGAUCCCCAAAACCUCCGGAGGGUUAGUUACACCGGUCGGACGGUGAGCGAUCGCAAUGACGACCCGAUCCGUGUGUGUAGCUAGGUAGCGGACGCUCUCGCUACGCUUACCUGGUGAUAAAUUAAAUUGAGUGUGGAUGCAGGUACUGUGCACUGGUGACGGGACAGUAGCGGACGGAGCUGGGUGUGCGGAACAAGUUCGGUAAAUCAUUGUUUGGAUUCUGUUUUAGAUUCUGUUUCUCGAACUUCGUGUUUCGGAACUUGUGGAUAUUUAGCAUC